CGGGUGAGUAACGCGUGGGUAACCUGCCUUGUACAGGGGGAUAACAGUUGGAAACGGCUGCUAAUACCGCAUAAGCGCACGGCAUCGCAUGAUGCAGUGUGAAAAACUCCGGUGGUAUAAGAUGGACCCGCGCUGGAUUAGCUAGUUGGUGAGGUAACGGCCCACCAAGGCGACGAUCCAUAGCCGACCUGAGAGGGUGACCGGCCACAUUGGGACUGAGACACGGCCCAA
rnacentral:rRNA from 1 species